rnacentral:rRNA from 1 species
AUUGAACGCUGGCGGCAGGCCUAACACAUGCAAGUCGAACGAGUGGCGGACGGGCGAGUAAUGUAUGUGACUCUGCCUGAUGGAGGGGGUUAACUACUGGAAACGGUAGCUAAUACCGCAUACCUUCGCAUGUGCCCAGAUGGGAUUAGCUAGUGGGAGGGGUAAAGGCUCACCAAGCCGACGAUCCCUAGCUGGUCUGAGAGGAUGACCAGCCACACUGGAACUGAGACACGGCCCAGACUCCUACGGGAGGCAGCAGUGGGGAAUAUUGGAAAAUGGGCGAAAGCCUGAUGCAGCCAUGCCGCGUGUAUGAAGAAGGCCUUCGGGUUGUAAAGUACUUUCAGCGGGGAGGCGUUACCCACAGAAGAAGCACCGGCUAACUCCGUGCCAGCAGCCGCGGUAAUAC